GACGUAGGGCGCGAGCGUUGUCCGGAAUUACUGGGCGUAAAGAGCUCGUAGGUGGUUUGUCGCGUUGUUCGUGAAAACUCACAACUCAAUUGUGGGCGUGCGGGCGAUACGGGCAGACUGGAGUACUGCAGGGGAGACUGGAAUUCCUGGUGUAGCGGUGGAAUGCGCAGAUAUCAGGAGGAACACCGGUGGCGAAGGCGGGUCUCUGGGCAGUAACUGACGCUGAGGAGCGAAAGCGUGGGGAGCGAACAGG
rnacentral:rRNA from 1 species